GCCAGCAUAGCUCAGUUGGCAGAGCAGCUGAUUUGUAAUCAGCAGGUCGUGGGUUCGAAUCCCUCUGCUGGCU
rnacentral:tRNA from 1 species